CAACAGCAACAGGUUUUGAUAAUCAAUACAUUAGCAUCACAACAAUAUCCCUACCUACAACCCCAAGACAUCUCAAGAUCAUUAAUGAAUAAUGUACUUAACCAAUCAGACACAUCGACAGUCAGUGAUAAUAAUGUACUUAACCAGUCCGACCCAUCACCUUUUCUUCAGCCAGCACUUAAUCGCCCCGGUUCGUCAGGGGGUCGAAACACCCACGUCCGUCCCUCUCUUAAACGGUUAUCCGACUUAGAGUCUCUCUCCCCCUCUAAGAAAAAAUAAGUGAUGAUGGUGGUAGUGGUGAUGGUGGUGAAGGUAGGGGUGAUGGUGGUGGUAAUAAUGUUGAUGGUGAUGGGGAAUUUUCGGUUGAAACAACUCGAGCUAGCCACGGAGCUGACAACUAAAUAUUAGAAAGAAAAUAAACGUAUAUAAACACAAAAAUGAGACACUGCAUACUCAUCUGUAGAUGAUAUUUUUAUAGCAAUUGUUCCUUUGAUGUUUAUCAGCUUAGAAAUAUAAUUAAAUUUAUAUUCUAUUGCUGUAGAUGUUGGCUUUUUUAAAUGUAUCAUCGCUCUCCUAAUUACACCAUCAAAUAUUGAGCAAUUGUAUGAGGAAAAUACGCUAUACAAUUAUGAGGAUGGUGUAUGGAUAAAUAUAUGUAAAUAUAAUGAAAGUAUGUUAAGCACUAAUAUAGAAAAAAAUGCUUAUUUAGUAUUAGAAAUUGUAUUUUUAAAAAUCAUCUUUAUAAAAUAUCACACACAACACGGGCACAAACACUAUAUCUUGUACAAGGAGUGCCAGUAGCUGUUGAAGGAAACAACUGCAAUAUUCUAGAUGGUGGUGAUGAGGAUGAUGACGACGACGAUAAUGAAGAGGAGGUUAUUAAUGGCUAUAGAAAGAUGAUAGAAGAGAAAAAAUAUGAUAACGUUGACGACAAUGGCGACGAUGAUAACGACGAGAUGAUGAUAGUGAUAACGACGAUGACGAUGAAUUAAGGACUUACAGUCGUGGCAUCCACUAAGCCGCUGGUGACGAACGGAGAUGGCGAAUAGUUAUUCAUCCCACACAUCGACCUCUGCAACUGCAUUUCGAUCAACAGCUAUACCAUUAUAUAAAGUGUGUGAUUAUGUAUACACCCAAUGCUUAUUUAGUAAUUAUCACAUAUAAGUAUGAAGUUUUUUUUUGUAGUAAACAGUUACAAUAGUCUAUUGUGUAAUAGAUACUUACGUGUACUAUAACUGGUAAGAUAUAAAUUGAUUAUACAGUAUACGUAUAUGUAUUUAUAUGUUUAGGAUUAUAUUUAGAUUGUAUACUAAUAUACGUAACAUAUGUGUAAAAUAGUUGAUAAGUAUGAUGACCUUACAUUGUAUAUCUAAAAUUCUAUAUUUACUUUACAUUAUAUAUUUUGAAUUCUUUAUAUUUACCUUGCAUUAUGAAUGGCAAAACACUCUUACGUGUUGAUACUAUGGUAGAAAAACCCAGCGCAAAAAUUACAUUUAUUGAAAAUGAGACUUCAGUUUCGAAAUUUACAUGGAUUCCAUGCUCAGGUAGAUUUCGAAACAAUUUUUGCAUUGUGGGUUUUUCUACCUUACAUUAUAUGUUUAAAAAUAUAUAUAUAUAUAAUAUAUAUUGAUAUAUGUAACACAUAUGUGUACUAUAGUUA